rnacentral:lncRNA from 1 species
CACGUACACCAUAUUUGAUUUAGGCUAAUAUUUUCUCUUCUUAGCUAAUGCAGAGAAGUGAAAUAAUUCCCAUCACAGAGAAAAAGGAACUAAGAAACAGCAAGGUGGUAAAGGCUGGACUGAAGGCCUGGAGAAACUGGGAGAGUCUGGGUGAGUUUUGAUAUUUAAUGUUGCUCUGAUCCAUUUGCAAGGCAGGGAGGGAAGACCGUGGGUGGUACAAGGCCUCU